AUUGAACGCUAGCGGCAGGCUUUACACAUGCAAGUCGAACGAGUGGCGGACGGGUGAGUAAUGUAUGGGAAACUGCCUGAUGGAGGGGGAUAACUACUGGAAAGGGUGGCUAAUACCGCAUACCAUCAGAGGGGCCGAGAUGGGAUUAGCUUGUUGGGGGGGUAAAGGCUCACCAAGGCGACGAUCCCUAGCUGGUCUGAGAGGAUGACCAGCCACACUGGAACUGAGACACGGCCCAGACUCCUACGGGAGGCAGCAGUGGGGAAUAGUGCACAAUGGGCGCAAGCCUGAUGCAGCCAUGCCGCGUGUAUGAAGAAGGCCCUCGGGUUGUAAAGUACUUUCAGUCGGGAGGCGUUACCCGCAGAAGAAGCACCGGCUAACUCCGUGCCAGCAGCCGCGGUAAUAC
rnacentral:rRNA from 1 species